rnacentral:rRNA from 1 species
CAGGGAAUUUUGCGCAAUGGGCGAAAGCCUGACGCAGCAACGCCGCGUGGGGGAUGAAGGCUCUUGGGUCGUAAACCCCUUUUGCCGGGGAAGAUCAUGACGGUACCCGGCGAAUAAGCCACGGCUAACUACGUGCCAGCAGCCGCGGUAAUACGUAGGUGGCAAGCGUUGUCCGGAUUUAUUGGGCGUAAAGCGCGCGCAGGCGGUCUGUCGCGUCCGAGGUGAAAUCUCCCGGCUCAACUGGGAGGGGUCUUCGGAUACGGGCAGACUAGAGGAGAGCAGAGGUGAGCGGAAUUCUCGGUGUAGUGGUGAAAUGCGUAGAUAUCGAGAGGAACACCAGUGGCGAAGGCGGCUCACUGGGCUCCACCUGACGCUGAGGCGCGAAAGCGUGGGGAGCGAACCGGAUUAGAUACCCCCGUAGUCC